CUGUGCAAAGGUAGCAUAAUCAUUAGCUUUUUAAUUGAAGGCUUGUAUGAAGGGUCUGACAAAGAAAAAGCUGUCUUUAAUUUUAUUUUUGAAAUUAACUUUUAAGUGAAAAGGCUUAAAUGAAUUUAAGGGACGAUAAGACCCUAUAAAUCUUUAUAUUAAAUUUUUAUCUUAAAGAUUAAUAAUUUGUCUAGAUUAUUAAGUAAAUAAUAAAUAUUUUGUUGGGGUGACAAGAAUAUAUAAUUAACUGUUCUUAUAUAAAACAAAGUUGUUUGUUUAAAUAAAAUAAAGAUCCUUUAUUAAAGAUUAAAAGUUUAAGUUACUUUAGGGAUAACAGCGUUAUUUUUUUUGAGAGUUCUUAUCGAAAAAAAAGUUUGCGACCUCGAUGUUGAAUUAAAAUUUCUCUACGGUGUAGAAGUUGUGGGAGAAAGUCUGUUCGACUUUUGAAAUUUU
rnacentral:rRNA from 1 species